ACUCUAUGAUGAACAUAAAAAAAAGACAAGCAUAUGGCUGAACUUAGAAGUGAUGUCAUCUUACUGCUGAGAAGU
rnacentral:snoRNA from 3 species